UACGUAGGGGGCGAGCGUUGUCCGGAUUUAUUGGGCGUAAAGAGCGUGUAGGCGGCCAGGUAGGUCUGCUGUGAAAACUCGAGGCUCAACCUCGAGACGUCGGCGGAAACCAUCUGGCUAGAGUCCGGAAGAGGAGAGUGGAAUUCCUGGUGUAGCGGUGAAAUGCGCAGAUAUCAGGAAGAACACCCGUGGCGAAGGCGGCUCUCUGGGACGGUACUGACGCUGAGGCGCGAAAGCGUGGGGAGCGAACAGG
rnacentral:rRNA from 1 species